AACGAACGCUGGCGGCAUGCCUAACACAUGCAAGUCGAACGAGACCUUCGUGUCUAGGGGCGCACGUGUGCGUAACGCGUGGGAACCUGCCCUUAGGUUCGGAAUAACUCCCCGAAAGGUGUGCUAAUACCGGAUAAUGUCUUCGGACCAAAGAUGUAUCGCCUUUGGAUGGGCCCGCGUUGGCUUAGCUGGUUGGUAGUGUAAAAGCCUACCAAGGCGACGUUCCAUAGCUGGUCUGAGAGCAUGAUCAGCCACACUGGGACUGAGACACGGACCAGACUCGUACGGGAGGCAGCAGUGGGGAAUAUUGGAGACUGGGGGAAAGCGUGAUCAAGCAAUGCCGGGUGAGUGAUGAAGGCCUUAGGGUUGUACAGCUCUUUUACACGGGAUGAUAAUGACAGUAACGGGAGAAUAAGCACCGGCUAACUACGUG
rnacentral:rRNA from 1 species